UCAAACUCCUGGGCUCAAGCAGUCCUCCUGCCUUGGCCUCCCAAAGUGCUGGGAUUACAGGUGUGAGCCACUUGCCUGGCUUAUGUUAUUCAACAUUUAUAGUAUUGCGACCAUGAUGAAAAAUAUUAAUAUGCAGGAACCUCAAGGGAUUACUUUUUACAGCAAUACACGAUUUACUGGAGAAAUGAACUGCUCAUGUGAUGAUGAUUAAUGUCUCACAGUGUUUUAAGAUAAGGAUACUUGGAACACUCAAGCUUAUCCCAAUAGCAACCGGAGGUGGCUGUGAAAUAAUUAUGGUAGUACAAUAUGGACUACAAUUAACUUUAUGCAGUUAUGAUUUUAUAUGGCAUUUUUAGUUUAUUUACAUUUCCCUUAAAUGUGAAUGGUUCCAUGUAUGGUCUGUAAGUGUGUCUAAGUUUUGAUAAAUUUUAACUUUUUAUAAUAGAGUUGUAUAUAUUUUACAGUAGUAAGUGAUAAAAUUGACAAGUAUCUAUGUAUAUUUUAUGCAUGCAUGGCAUACCUAGUUUUUUCUUAUUUUUUUCCAUAUUUCUAGGCUACAUGUUUCAUCUACAAGUUUUUUCAAAUUGUUGCAAAUCUUCAAAAAAUUUUCCAUUAUAGUUAUUGAAAAAAAGUCUGUGUGUAAGUGAAUCCUUGAAAUUCAAAUCCUUGAAAUUCAAACCUAAGUUCAAGGAUGAACUGAAGUAUUUAUUGACGAGUUUAUUAGUAAAUUUGUUAUGUAAAGCAUUUAAAAAUAUUUGUAAAGUUCAGGAGUUUACAUAUUUUAUUUUACAAAUUGUCAUACAGUAACGUAACAUUCUGGGUUUACAGUUCUAUGAAUUUAACAUGCUUAUAGAUUCAUAAAACCACCACAAGAGUAUGGCUACAGAACACUUUCAUCACCCCAAAAGCUCCCUUCUACUCACAUUCUUUUAUGGAUCUUUUAGGUGUCUUUAAAUACCAGAAUGUUCUUUUCAUUCUUGUUGUUUUGGAAAUAUUGCUCUUAUUUUCUUCCGAAGUUUGCUUUUUAAAAAUUCUUUUUUUUUUUUUUGAGAUAGUCUCACUCUGUCGCCCAGGCUGGAGUGUAAUGGCGCGAUCUUGACUUACUGCAACCUCCACCUCCUGGGUUCAAGCAAUUCUCUUGCCUCAGCCUCCCCAGUAGCUGGAAUUCCAGUCACCUGCCACCAUGCCUAGAUAAUUUUUGUAUUUUUAGUAGAGACGGGGUUUCAUCAUGUUGGCCAGGCUGGUCUCGAACUCCUGACCUCAGGUGAUCCACCCACCUCGGCCUCCCAAAGUGCUGGGAUUACAGGCAUGAGCCACCACUCCCAGCCCCUUUUUAAAAUGCUUAACAAAAUUUUGUGUUAAACCAAACUAAAUUUUGAACUAACGGGCAGAGCUGCCUAUUUCUGAAACAUAUAAAAUGUCUGGAAAAUACAGGAUAAUAUGAAAAUGGCAAGACUCUUGUGUUUGUUAAAUUUUUCCACCCAAGGGCCCUAACCACAAAGGAUAAGGAACAUGAUGACUUUUGGUACGUGGUGUAGUGCCACACACUUUACUUCAAGGAGAAGUUUUUAGAAUCUCAUGGUUUUUUGUUUUCUGUAUUUCCAGCAGUCCCAGUUUGAGAGGCAGGAUCUUAGGUUAAGAUAUAACCCUAGGGCAACCAAGAGGCCUACCUGACCAAACUACUAAGUGCAACUUACAAUUAUAAUAAUGAAUAUUUUUAUAGCACUUUGCUUAGUUAGUACUGUUUAUUUAUUUAUUUUUUUGAGGCGGAGUCUCUCUCUGUUGCCCAGGCUGGAGUGCAGUGGCACAGUCUUGGCUCACUGCAACCUCUGCCUCCUGGGUUCAAGCUAUUCUCAUGCCUUAGCCCUCUGAGUAGCUGGGACUACAGGUGUGCACCACCACGCCUGGCCAAUUUUUGAAUUUUUAGUAGAGACGGGGUUUUACCAUGUUGGCCAGGCUAGUCUCCAACUCCUGACCUCAAAUGAUCUGCCUGCCUCGGCCUCCCAAAGUGCUGGGAUUACAGGCGUGAGGUACUGCGCCUGGCCUUGCUUUAUUGUUUUUAAUGAUGCAUUGUUGGGUUUUUUUUUUGGUGAAAGUAGGUUUUAAAUUUCAACACUUUUUUUCAUUUUUUAUAUUUAAAAAAAUUAUGGUAAUAUAUACAUAACAUAAAAUUUGCUACUUAAUAAUUUUUAAGUAUAGAGUUCAGUGGCAUUAAGUACAUUCACAUGUACUUUUAAAAAAUUACAAAUGACAUUGCUAAUGAAUACCCUUUUUAAAAAACUUUUAUGAUAGAUUUUUCUCUUUCAUCUUCAGUAAACAGAAUCAUGCUCAGAUAAAACGGCCUGCCAAAGAUUAAAUACAGGAGAAGGAAACAGCAAUCAUUUUAUAGGAAGCAAAUUCUUUUUAAAUUCAUACAUACAGUAACUUAUCUGAAAGCAGGGUGCGUUAUUUGGAAAAACCACUAACUUUUUCUCUAGGGCUCAUUGAGCCAAUAUGACUUCGCCAGUUUUUGGAAGCAAUAUAACUUACUAUUGCUGGAUUUUUAAAUAUUUGAAUAUGAUGAAGCUAUUGAUUUCACCAAAUCCUUAGCCUUUUUUUUUUCUUUUGACACAUAAAGAUCACUGAGUAAAGAUUCUUAACUUUUUAAAGCUGUCGUUAGAAGUUUUGAAGUUACAUUUCAACAGGAAUCUAAGACAUUUGUGUGUUAUUUGAAGCAUAGCACCUUUGGCAGUAUCACUAUACCUACUGUCAGGCUAUUCACAGAUAAAACUUGUUAAGGUUUCUCAAUAGGUACUUAGAGAUAUGACCUUGGAGACUAGAAGCAAGAGUGUUGCUUUCUGAGCUAUGGGACAGUUUUCUUCCCGGUUUAGAAACGUAUAGUAGGAGGGUCUCAUAUAUGGGACUGGUAUAUAAUUAGUUAUAGUUGUGGAAAACAAAAUUUCAAAUAUAAUUUAUUUUCAGCUAAGUUUGCAUGUGCAUGUAUGUGUGUAUGUGUGUUUGACGGUGAUGGUGGGAGUAGGGAAUAUAUUGCCCUAUUCUUUCCUGAGUUCUGGUCACCAAUUGUUGUAGUUAAAUUUUCUGCCUGUGGAUUUAUUUUGAACUUUUUGUGUGAAUUUCAGUCACUAUACUUUUUCUCGUUAGAGUGUACUCUUUCUAGUUAUUAAAAAGAAAAGUUAACUGUAAAACAGCCUCAGGCAGGUCCUUCCGGAGCUAUCCAGAAGAAGCCAUUGUUAUCAUAGGAGAUGACAGCUCCAUGGGUGUUAUUGCCCCUGAAGACCUUCCAGUGGGACAAGAUGUGGAGGUGGAAGACAGUGACACUGAUGAUCCUCACCCUGUCUGGGCUAAUCAUGGUGGUUCUACCAGGAUGAUUUAGGUAAGGGGUUUACCCUCAGAUAAUGAACUUAGUGGGUUCUGUUGUUAGAGAACUUACUUCCUCGAUUGUUCUCAUAGUGUUAUGUUUGUACACUCUGUUCUACCAUAAAGUGAUAUUCUAAGAAACUUUAGUGUAGUGAGAGAAAGAGAGAGAGAGAGAGAGUGUGUGUGUGUGUGUGUGUGUGUGUUGUGGGGAGGAGGAAGGGAGGCUAAGGGAAGGGACGGCUGCCCUUACCUCUUUGUCCUAAUAACAAAUGAAUUUCUUUGCACGCAACUGACUUUUCCCUAUUCUGUGUAUUCUUGGUGAGGGAAUAUUAUCUAGCUUCCUCCUUCCACCUCAGGAGUGUGAAGGGGCCUUAUCUAUCCUCUGCCAGGUAGAGCCAGGAAGUGGCCACUUAACUUAAGCUGGACUUAGAAGGAUGCAAAGCUGGAGGGAACAUCAUUGAGAAUUCAGUAUUUCAUUUCAUAUGGCCUUUUCUUUUUCAAAGGUAAGAAUGAUGAUAGAGGAAGAAGCACAGCCUUUUAAGUAGAUUUCAGCAAUCUUAUUGUCUUUAUACCAGUUGUUUUAAUAUAUGCAGUGCAGAAUCACUUAAACAAAAUUCUUUUCUUGAUUUGUCAAAGCAAAGGAAAACCUAUGCUAGUUAUGCCAGCCACUGUUGUUUGAUAUAAUCAGUAGUCAUCUACUUGCUAGCAAAAAGCAUUCCCUUAUAGUAGAUUUAACUGUAUGCAAUUUAGGUACAAAAACUUGUGUUUUAGAAAAAAUGAGGGUCAUUCUAUAGUACAUAUAAAGUUAUGAUUUAAUUAUGUGUUUACACCCCUUUCCCUUAUACCUUAUGAGUAGACAGUUUUGGUUUUAUCAGUUUUGCACUCCUUUUGAUUAUAAAUGACCAAACAAAUGCUAUUACUUAAAAAAAUUAAUUGUAACUUUGUAAUACAUGUUACAAAAUGUAUAUGUAAUAUAUAAAAAUUCUAAAUGAUGUAUGCGUAUUUUAAACAAAAUAGGAAAUAAUUAAGGUUCAAAAUAAAAUAUCAUGUUUGCCCCUGUUCCCAGUCUCCAGAAGUAACUGCUUUUCCUUGUUUUUAAAAUCAGAAAGGACAUAUGCUUUUCUUCUCCUGAUUAUAUGUGUAGCACAUGUAUGUUGUACAGUAUUCGUUUUCAGUAAUUAAAAUAUGAUAGAUAUAAUGUAGAAAGUGAAAUCCUAUGACAUCUACUGUCAGUUUUGGAGCAUAUGCCUCCAAGUUUGUUUUUAUUCUUGAAUAUAUCUUAAUGUAAAUUGUUGUUAAUUUUUUCCCACAAGUAGAAUAAUUCUGUAUAUACUUCCUUGAUGAUUUAAUUUGAUCUUUGAUAUAAUUUUUUCAUCUUUCCUUGUCAAUAUUGAUACUUUAUUUUUUAGCAGCUAUACAGAUUUCAUUAUAUGGAUAUAUCAUUGGUUAAUAGUUCCUUAUAAUAUUGUUAUAAACAAUUCUGAAGUGAACAUUGUUACACAGAACAUUCACGUUAUUCUUUUGCAAACUUAUGUGAAUAGUUCUGAAGGAUAGAUCCCAAGUGAAAUUACUAUUCUAAAAAUAUAUCAUUUUAUAAUUACAUCAAUUUAUUUCUUCAUUUAGGAAAAUUCUAAGAUCUUCACCUUUACAGUCUUAUUAGGCCACCUGGGAGGGGACAGUGAACCAACAUUAUGAUUAUUUUUUCUUUAGAGCCCAAGUUUCUACUGUAUGCAGCUACCAAUAGAGUCUCUUUUGCCCCUACUUCUUGAAUCUCCUUAUCUUAAAUUGUUCACCUCUGCUUCAGCCCGAGUUUUUAAUCUCUCCCUGCUCCUUUGGAGUUGAUGUUUCUUGCUGACCCUUGAUUUGGCAGCUAGCCCAAUGUGCCCACUCUGUGUGCUCAGGAAACCUAGCCCGGCCCAGGAUUCUUGGGCCCUUUCAUUUGCUUAGAAAAAAAAUUGGAAAUUAUGUAUACUUGGGAUAUGAAAAACAGCAUGUGAUAAGUGGCCAGAUGAAUGGUAUAUAAAAUUAGUCAUAUAUCAGAGAGGGAUAGAAGCUCUAGAGAUAGUUUGGGUCAGGUUAUAUAGAUAUCAGGAUGAAAAUACAGAAUUAUUUUUAUGAGUAGUAGAAUGUAUUGAUGAUUUUUAUGCUGGCAAGUGUAUAGCUUCGUAAGUGUUUCAGGAAAUGUAUUAGAUUUGAAGAAGACUAUAAGAUGGGUGAUUAGUGAAAACAUUGUUUUGUUUAUUUAUUUAUUUAGAAGCUGGAUCUCAUGAUGUUUGUUGCCCAGGGUGGUCUCAAAUUUCUAAGCUCAAGCAGUCCUACUGUCUCAGUCUCGCAAGCAAUAGCUGAAACUACAGUCAUGCGCCACCAUGCCCAGAGAAUGCAUUGUUUUAACAGUCCAUGUUAGAGGCCUCAAAAUAGAAAGGAAGGGACAGACUUGAAAGACGUAGACAUGAGUAUAGAGUUGAUGGUAGUGUUUUUACUAACUUUACGCAGUUUUUGUAUAUUGUCCAUUUAUUUGAUGCUCUGAUACAUUAAAGCUAUUGUCCUUUCUGCCAAAGUUCUGAGAAGAGAACCUGGCUAAGGGAAUAGAUAAGAAGUUGUGUGUGUGGAAGUUGGUGAUGGAUAUGCAUGGAGGAGGGAGUACAGAUAUGUAGAGUAAACAGAGCACACCUUAUGCUGAUAGUACCACUGGUGAACAUCAGGUUUGGUGGGAGAGCUUUGAAUAAGAGGGAAAUGUAUAAUCUACUUUCAGCUUUUAAAAUUUUCAAUUUGACUCCUGGUACUGCUUUGCUCCCAUCACAUGGUAAAUUGAUAUUGGUGACCAUAAAAAAGCUUUAACGCCGAAUUUGAUUUUGAAACAUCUUGGACAGACCAAGCCCUAUAUUCUUCUGAGGUGAGAGGAAGAGAGUCAUGAAUAGCAAAGAUGAUUGCUACGUGGUAUGUUGUAUAGCUGAUUAGAGAGGCGCAUUUUCAGAGGUGCAUUUUUCAGAGGGAGGAAAAUUCAUACUACCCCUUUUUGGGGCAAAGAAGUUGAGGGAAAGUAGAAAUAUAGGCAUUAUAGUAGACCCUUGACCUUUUCUAAUUUAAUAAUAAUGGUUUGGACUAUUUUUAAGCGAUUCUGAAGAUACAGGACAUGAUAUUUACUUGUAAUUUUGCUGACCCAUUAAUUUGAAUGGCUAGAGCUCAGAGGCUGAUUAGCCAAGUGAUUAUAGCAGAUCAUUUUAUUGUUUUCUACGCAUCCUUCUCCCAGCAGUAACAUCAAUUUUUUUGCUGUAUUUAUAAAGUCGUGGAUGAUAAAGGUUAUAGGUGAACUGUAUUUAUGAGCCUUAAUGUCCUUUGCAAAUCUAAAUAAAGUGUGCAAAUUUUGUAACAUAGAAAUGCAUUACAGUCAUCCCUCGCUAUAUGUAGGGAGAUCAGUUCCACGAGUGCCUAUAUUUUGCAUUGGGCCAAUACUGUAUUUUCUGUCCACAUUUGGUUGAAAAGGUCUGUGUUUAAGUGAAUCUGUGCAGUUCAAACCUGUGUUGUUCAAGAGUCAACUUUACUUAUUUUCUCUCAUAGUGAUAUUUGCAAUGUUAGACUUAAGUUUUUUUAGCCAAUAAUUUAAUUUCUGUUUGAUUUUACUUUUCAAUCUGUAUUUUCCUUAAAAGAGUCUAUUUUAGUAAGUAGAGCAUAUCAAUUUUUUUGAAUAACUGCUAGCUGUACUGGUUUUGAUGUCACUCUUUAUUUUGAAAGAUCUAUACAGUUUUAUAGUUAUUAGAAAAAUAAUUCCAUCUCUUGCCCCCAUCUCCCCAAAUGUGAUAUUCACCAUUGACUGAUUUCACUUCUCCCUUGGCCUUCACCACUCAUAGGCUGGUCAGACAAGUUCUUAAGGAAAUAGAACUAACAUCAAUCGAUGUAGGUGAUUUUUGUGCAAAUGGUUAGAAUUUUUGGCUAGGAAAAAUAAAAGCCCUUAUCCUUUUUCCUUUGUUAUUAAUGACAGAUGUGACUUCAUUCUGUUUUAUAUCACUGUUCCUCUGUAUCUGUUUGAAUUUCAUAUGUUUAAAUUGCUCAGGGCUUUAAAAAUAAGAUUCCAGAGAGCUACUUUAGUUUUGUUGUGGGUGUUUGGUUAAAAAGAGGUGAAGGUGGCACUGAUGAAAAAAUAGUUUCUAAGUUGCCUUUUUAGUUUAUAUGGAAUUGUAGCCCUUAAGGCAUUACAGCUUUAUUGAACUGCUAAAUGAGAAGGUAAAAAUGCCUUCAUUUAAUUGCUCCCCCCCAACUUAGGUUAAGUUAGGUGUUGUUUAUAUGUCUUGUAAAUCACCUUUAGUAACCAUGAACAUAAAUUACUGUUUUCAAGAGCCCACCUUCCUCCGCCAUAAGCACAUCAUUUAAAAGUUUUAAAUGAGUCACACAUUUUUGCCUAGACACAAAUUGCCAAUAUAAAGCUGUCUUUGAUUGUAUCCUAAAAUAAUGGAGUUUUUUCCUUGGGUCCUGUAAUUUUCUUUUUCAGCAGUAUUUAUUAAAUUACUCUAGUAUUGGAUUGCAGUAAACAAUCUGACCAAAAACCAUAUGUUUUCUUUGUUUCUUCAGUACAAAUUCAAUGGGUUAAGUAAUUAUGCAGUGGUUCUCAUCUACAUAUACAAUGCAUUCUAAUAACCAACUUCUGUUUAUUGUGGAAAAUAUUGCAGCAGUAGGAAGCAGUUCCUUCUACUUUGCAUUGUAAUAUUGUAUCAAGCUAUUUAAUCUACUGGCUAUUUACAAUUUAAUUUCAUGAAUAUAUCCUUAUAUUCAUUCAUGGUGGUCUUAUAUCUAAGUGAUUGGUGAUUGAGGCAUUUGUAUUUUUUUCUGGAAUAUCUUUUCUGACAUGUUUUUGAAGGUCUUCUUUCCUGUCCUCUCUGCCCAAAAUAGCUGACUGGGUUCUGAUACAGAAACUCUGGUAUCUUGAAAUUCCUCAGGGAUGUGAGGGCAACUUCUAAGGUACUGGAGAGUCUCUUGAUCUUUAAUGAUCAGUUUUUUUUUGUUUGUUUGUUUGUUUUUUUAAGAGAUGAGGUCUCACCAUGUUGCCUAGGCUGUCUUCAAAUUUCUGGGCACUAACAAUCUUCCUGCCUCAGCCUCCUGAGUAGCUGGGACUGCAGGCUUGCACCACUGUGCCCAACUUAGCAUCAAGUUUGAACCUCAUUUUUCUUGUCAGAAUGCUGUCAUUAUAAGUUAAAAAUGUAAGUAUUGAGACUGAUUUGGUUUUGAAAAUGAAGGCACUUGUUGUUAUAUGUAACUUGGAUGAAUGAAAUCAGUUGAGCAUUUGUGUUUUAUUAAAGUGAAUCUUCAUUUCCUUAUAACUGUCCUUUUUCAAAUUUUACAUUGAUGCCUUUACACCACUCAUUGCAUGCCAGAUACAGUUUUCCUACGUCAGUGACUUAUAAUUUUGAGCUUAUGGCUUGGUAGUGCCAUUUGCUAGCCCUGGCAGUUGAAGGAAAGGCAGGGCUAUAGGGCUCUAAGGCUCUAUGGGCUGUAGGCUGUGUUGCAGGACUGGUCAAAAUAAUCACAAGUUUUCUGUCUCUACAUUGGCGAUGUCAGGGCUUCCCCUCAGAAUCCCCAGACUGUCCAUGUGCCUGGAAUUUGUUUAUUCAGGGCCAUGGUGUCCCCUUGACCGGUCCAUCUUCUCCUCCCACUCCAACUCUGUCUUUGCUGUCCUUGCUCACUCUGUGGCAGGAAGGAACAUUACCUGACUGUCCUGGAUUUGACUGACUCAGCUCUUGCCAUAGUACCUAAGGAAGACCCCAUUGAACCAGCAGAGAUUUAGAUAUUUUGUUUGUAUUUCUCACAGGUAAGGGGUUAGGUCAGGGGAGAUGGUCUUGUUCCUCUUCCCUAGUUCCUGAGGUGAAAAGGACAACUGUAUCCACCUUCUGUUCAGUUCAGCUAUGAAGGUCUUCUCUUGCAUUUCAGGUUGCCAGAUGAGUAGAAUCAAAAACUAGGGAUUACUUUAUAGAUUUCUGGGAAUAGUGUUCUUUAUCUUCCAAUUAACUCAAUGUUCAAGUAUAUUUAAAAGUAUUAGGUGUGAAGGUGCAGGGCAGGUGUCUUGAAAUCUUCUCCGCCCAUUUUCCUAACUUGUUUUUUUCCCCAUUUUUGUAUAUAUAGGCUGAAUUCUGAUUUGUAUAUUGUAGGUAACAAUUUCAUUUGGGAAAGAACUCUAAAUUGAAAUUAUUUUGAAUAUGAUUUUUAAAAAAUUGAAGCAGUGUUAUAUUCAGGGUAACAGCUAUACCAGGGGUUGAUGACUUUUAAAGAACUGAGGAAGAUAUACCAAUAAGGAAGUUUACUAUAUGCGAUAAUUUAAAUGUAGAACCACAAUCUUAACACUUUAACACCGUUUUAGAUAUGACCUGCUGUUUAUAUACUUAUGGUGCUGUAAUGGGAAGGGAGUCAACUGAGUAACAGGGAAGGGAAUUUAUUGAUGUUAGGGGGCCAGAAACUUUAUGGUGAUAUAAUUUGAUUCUCCUAGGAACCUAUGAAUUUCAUAUUAUUACCGCAUUUUAGAGAUGGGGAAACUGAUUCUCGGAGAAUUUAAAAAUUUGUCAAAAAAUCACAUAGCUGCUAAGUGGCGGAAUCAAGAUUUUUAGCAAAACUUCUAUCUUUCCUCUACUGUAUAUCUAUUUCUUAAAGUUUUUUUUUAUGAAUAUUAUAUCUUAAAACAUUUUUCUUGUUUUGGAAUAGCUUUAUUAUUAAUAAUAGCUUUAGUGAAGGAAUAAUAUUUCAUUGUCUCAAUGGUGUACGAUUUAUCAUUCUCUAAUUUUUAGACAGCUGGAUGUUUUCAGUUAUUUUGCUAUUAUAGGUAGCUCUUUAGUGAGUGACUUUAUCCAUUUAUAUUUUUAUCUUUAUUGAAUUUUUCCUUACAAAGUAUUUAUUGGAGAUAAAUUAAUGAAUCAAAGAUUAUAUUUCUCUUCUAGUGGCUCUUGUUAUACAAUACCAUGUUGAUUUCCAAAAGGAUUUUUUAAAUUUGCUUUUCUUUUUUUGAGACAGAGUCUCGCUCUGUCGCCCAGGCUGGAGAGCAGUGGUGCCAUCUCGGCUCACUGCAAGCUUUGCCUCCUGGGUUCAUGCCAUUCUCCUGCGUCAGCCUCCCGAGUAGCUGGGACUACAGGCGCCCGCCACCACACCCGGCUAAUUUUUUGUAAUUUUAGUGGAGACGGGGUUUCACCAUGUUAGCCAGGAUGGUCUCGAUCUCCUGAUCUUGUGAUCCGCCCGCCUCGGCCUCCCAAAGUGCUGGGAUUACAGGCGUGAGCCACUGCGCCUGGACUAAAUUUGCUUUUUAAAAAUAAUUACUGGCUGGGCACAGUGGCUCACACCUGUAAUCCCAGCACUUUGGGAGGCCAAGGCAGGUGGAUCACGAGGUCAGGAGUUCAAGACCAGCUUGGCCAAGAUGGUGAGACCUCGUCUCUACUAAAAAUACAAAAAUUAGCUGGGCGCAGUGGUGCACACCUGUAAUCCCAGUUACUCGGGAGGCUGAGGCAGGAGAAUCACUUGAACCCGGGCGGCAGAGGUUGCAGUGAGCCGAGAUCGUGCUGUUGCACUCCAGCCUGGGCGACGGAGUGAGACUCUGUCAAAAAAAAAAAAAAAUCCUACUCCGUUUAACCAACUGUAAAUAUAAAAUUGUACAGUAUACAUAGGGAAUAACUUAAAGUGUAUGUAUUUCAGUAAAAUAAAAUAACAAAGCAUCUAUUUACCCUAUCUAGAGUAAAAUGGAGGAGCUGGGGAACCAUCAUGUGGAAACAGCUGGAGAAGUCCCGAGAAUAGAACUGUUUCUAAAGCUGAUAGAGACCAGGCACAGUGGCUUCUGCCUGUAAUCCCAGCAUUUUGGGAGGCUGAGGCAAGAGGAUCACUUGAAGCCAGGAGUUCGAGAUCAGCCUGGGUAAUAAAGCAAGACCCCAUCUCUUAAAAAAAAAAAAAAAAAGAUGUUAGCUAGACAGUAGUUAGGAGUGAGUGCACUUGAAUUUGUUAGGGUGAUGGUUUGUACCUGGUUUGCUGUAAUUGGCAGGGUGUUGCAGUUAAUCUUUACGAAUUGAAUUUGAUGUAAAUAAAGAUCAGGCUAUAAUUUAAAUUUGAAUUUUAAUCCCUCUUUGUUAAAAUCCCUUUCUGUUCUUCUCAUCACCCUUUCUUUGCUAACAUUGUAAUUUAUGGUGAGAGAAUUUUAGUUUGCUUCAUUUGAUUUGAGAAGCCUUAGGAGACUGGCCUAUUUUACUUGCAAAUAGAAGGUUUAUACUGAAUAUUUACGUAGAAGGAUCAUUAUGUUUUAAACGUCACUAUUUUUUUUUCAGUAAAUGACAUGUUCGAUAAUAUUUUAUUAAAUCUAGAAAAGGAGACAAAGUUGAUGUCAUUUCAGAUAGUAUAGUUACAGAUGGUUUCUGUGAAAAUGUGUGCACAUUUAUGUACAGUUGACCCUUGAACAACACAGGGGUUAAGGAUGCUGACCUCCCACUCAGUUGAACUGUGUGUAACUGAGUUCUGGGGAGAUUCUGACUCCCCAAAAUCUCUACUGUUGAGCAGAAGCCUUACCAAUGACAUAAACAGUUGAUUGACACAUAUUUUGUAUAUGUGUUAUAUACCGUAUUUUUGAAGUAAGCUAGAGGAAAGACUAUUAUUAAGAAAAUCAUAAGGAAAAUAAUUUACAGUACUGUACUUCUGAUACCAUAAGUUCAUAUUAUCUGUUUACAAGAUGAGUCUUCUGAAAUGGUAGCAACCACAGCUGUAGAUCUCAAUCUACGGUCCCUAUUAAGUGGACCUUCUAAUCUGUGGUCCAAUUCAACAUUUCGUUGUCAAGUCAUGACAUUUCUCUGCUUCUUGGGAGCACUGCCAGCAUCACUAGUGGCACUUGGUAUGGCUCCCAUGGUGUUAUUCAAGGUUUACAAUAUAGCAUUAAACACAAUGAAAAAAACACAAGAACUGCAAGAGAUCACUUUUUACUGUAAUACACAAUUUUCUGGAGAGAUAAACUGCUCACAGGAAGAUGAUUAAUGUCUCACAGUGUCUUAAGCGGAUACUCGCAACACUCAAGCUCAUCCCAAUAGCAACAGGAGGUGGCGGUGAAAUUAUUAUGGUAGUACAGUAUGGAGUACAGUUAAUUUUAUGCAGUUAUGAUUUCAUACUGCAUCUUUAUGUUUGUUUACAUUUCUUUCAACUGUGAAUGGUGUCAUAUAACAAUCUAAGUGCGCAUGUGUACAUUUUGAUAAAUUCUUAAGUUUUUAUAAUUUAUAUAUAUUUUAUGUUAGUAGAUGAUAGACUAGUGUUUGCAUAUUUUUAUGCAUUCAUGACAUACCUAACUGUAAACAUUUUUCAGUAUUUCUAGGUUACCCGGUUUAUCUGUGAGUUUUUUUCAAACUUGCAAAUCUUCAAAAAUUUAAAAAUAUGUUUAUUGAAAAAAAUCCACAGGCAAGUGAACCCUCUCAGUUCAAAGCCAUGUUGUUCAGGGUCAAUUCUAUUAUAUUUCCAUGUCAUUUUUAUAACUACCCAUACUGGCUAAAGGCAAAAUGGUAGCUUACCUUUAUUGGACUGAUAAUGAUAUCCCUUGAUAGUUGGUAAAAGGAGCUGUUUUACCCAGCGUUUUCCCAUUAUCUUCUUUCUUUCCCAUUACAUGAUACGAAUGGUAACAAUGUACUUUUAUGAGAGGCUUUAUUUAUUGAGGAUUAAUGUGUUAUAAGCAGUAUAAUAAAGGCUUUAUUAUUACAUCUAUUAACUCUCUCAAGAUUUGCAUGAAGUACGCAGUACUAUUCCCAUUUUGCAUACUAAAGAAACAAUUCUAGUACUUUGAGGGGGCUGUGGCAGGAAGAUCGCUUGAGUCUAGAAGUUCAAGUCCAGCCAGGACAACAUAGUGAGACCCCCCUUCUCUACUAAACAAUAAAAAAAAUCAGCCGGGCAUGGUGGCGUGUGCCUGUAGUCUCAGUUACUCAGGUGGCUGAGGAUCUACUGAGGUGGGAGGAUCACUCAAGCUCAGGAAUUUGAGGCUGCAGUGAGCCAUGAUUGUGCCACUGCACUCCAGCCUGGGCAUUAAAGGAAGACCCAGACACUGUCUCUUAAAAAGAGAGAUGAAGUGACUUGCUUAAGUUAGUAAAUGGAAGAACUGAGAGUUUAAUCUAGGAUCUGUGACCUGAAACCCAUCAUUUUAACUUCUCUCAUAUUGUAUGUUGUGUGCAUUUUUAGUUAAUUGACUAUAACACUCAUGGUUACAUGCUUUAAGCCUUUAGUCUCCUCUACCUUACAACCCAUUUACUUAAGAAAAUCUUCGCAUUCUCUUUUUGAACCUAAAAUACUCGUGAUGAUACUUUGAUGCCGACAAGCAUUUCUAGGAAUAGAGUGGAGAGGGCAAGAGAGAUCAUCUUUAGUCAGACAAGUUGUAAUUUUGUUUGGUUCUUAAAGGUAGGUGUUUGGUGUAGGUUUCUUUGAAGGCAAUUUAUGUAUGGUAAGGGAAAUAUAGUUUACUUUAGAAAGUAGAUGCUUACUAUUGAUUAGUAUCAAUGAAUCAGUAUUUUCUGCAGAAUUUAAACAAUUGUAUUUAAGGGUUACAAGAUCUUAUUUUUACCAAAUGAGGAUUCCAUUGAAAUGCUUUACUGUCUUAAGCCUCCUCCCCUUACUCCUUGGAGAUGUGGAUGGGAUUAAAAAAAAAAGAAUUAUAUUGAUGUUUUCUUUGGAUAAAGUUGUUAAAAUAAUGAGUUGGUUCAUUAGGCUCCUCCAAAGGUAGAUAAUGAUACCUUCUGAUUUCUUUAAACCUCCUGGGUUUAAACAUUUGUUAUGUGUCCGUCCAUUGCAGUUAUCCAUAUUGAUAUUCCAGUUGUUCCAGGGGAAUCUCUUCAAGUUGGUUCCUGAGCACUUUUGAUGCCACAUUAGUGGUCUUUGAUAGCUUUCUUGCUGUCUGGUAUGAUCUCAAGGGUGUUCCAGGCCUAUCUUUUUAUAUCCUCCCCAGUUCUGGAAAUAGCCAAGUGUCCAAGGAGCCUUGGUUUCUUUUUCUAACUGCUAUAAUCUUUCUCACUCAACUAUCCUUUGUAGCUCCUAGAAAAACGUAUUUUUAUAGAAAAGAAUGUAACUCUUCAUCCACCUGUCUUCCUAUGGAAAGACAGAAAUAUAUCUUGGAAGGAAUUGGUAUUAAUAGCCUCCAAAGUAAUGGUUCUCAAAAUUUUUUAUCUCGAGACUCUAAAACUUUUAAAAUUAUUAAGGGCUCUCAAAACCUUGUGCUUUUGUAGGUAAAUGUCAAUCAGUAUUUACCGUAUUAAAAAUUAAAACUAAGAUUUUUAAAAUGACUUAAUAAUUCAUUUUAAAACCACAGUAAACCCAUUAUAUGUGUACAUAAUAUAUUUUUUGAGAAAUGAUUACAUUUUCUAAAACAAAAAUAUUUAAUGAGACCAAGAGGGAUUGCUUUUUUUUUUAAAUAAAUUUCUUUAAUGUCCAGCAUAAGAGAGGACAGCUGGAUUCUUAUAUCUGCUUGUACAUUUAAUCUAACACUGUAUGUUGUUUUGGCUGAGGUAUAUAAAGAAAACCUGGCCUCAGAUAUGUGGUUAGAAAAGGGAAGAGUAUUUUAAUAACCUUUCAGAUAAUUGUGAAUAUUCUUCUUUGAUACUACAUCAAAACUUGACAAAUAAUAGUAUCUUAAAAGUUAAUCGGAAUGUGGAAUCUGCAACUAUAACAAUGAACAUUCUGUACUCAUAUUAAAGUCCCUUAGUCUAUCUUGUACUUUGAGUGACUCUUUUACCCAUUUGGUUGUUUGGAAAAUGCUGAUUCUUGGUGAGUGAUACAGAUAUUCCAAAUCUUGAGACCUUAUGUGAUACAGUAUCAAAAAAAUCAAAUCUGUUGAUAUCACCACAGAUCUCAUCAGAAAAAUCUUUAAAUAUUGGGAAGUUGUCAGGGUUACAGUGGCAAAUGCACAUUUUCAAAAAUUAUAAUUUUUACUUGAAAGUCUGAAUCCUGCCACCUCCCAACCCCCCACUAUCUUGCCAGGUCUUAUUAACACUUGACAAGGAAUGGAGCAUUGGCUGUGUUUGAGCAGCUGCCCCCUGCUAGUGUGUAAUUCAGGGAAUUGGGAACAUGGGAAUGUUUUUGGGUGGUGUGGUCUGUGUCUGCCCCAUCCUGAGCUUUCCCCCGGUGGCUGAGAGCCUGAAUUUUAUAAUUUACAAGAAAAUGGCUGCCAGAUACAAAAGAUUAAAUAACCAUAGUUUGAAUGUCAGUUAUUUUUUCACAUAGAAAUGGGGUUCUACAAAAAAGUGGCCAGUUCAGCUUGCAACCCAAAUGCUUUCCUUUAACAACCAUUAUUUUGGUAUGUAGCAGAAACAUUUUAUGCAUACUUCUGUUUCCUCACCCAGCACGUUAGAGAUGUAUACCCAAGGGUUGAGAUACAAUAAAAUUAAUAGCCCUUACUGAUUCAUCAAGGACUGCCUUAGGUGAAACUGGGUUGUUUAUUUUUAAUUGUGAUGAAUACAUUGACCAAGUACAAUAUGACCUUGAUUCAUGCUAAGAUACUAGCAGUUUUUCCCACAAUUACUUUUGUACCAUGACUGCUGAUGUCAAUACAGUGAAAAAGGCAAAUAACAUGUUAAUAUUAUUAUGAAAUUACAUAUAUGUAAAACUAUAUAUAUAUAGACAGAGAGAAAUUUUGAGACAGAGGCUCACUCCAUCACCCAGGCUGGAGUGUAGUGGUGUGAUCUUGGCUCACUGCAACGUCUGCCUCCCAGGUUCAAGCAAUUCUUGUGCCUCAGCUUCCUGAGUAGCUGGGAUUACAGGUGCCCACUGCCAUACCCGGCUAAUUUAUGUAUUUUUAGUAGAGACAGGGUUUUGCCAUCUUGGCCAGGCUGGUCUCGGAACUCUUGACCUCAAAUGAUUUGCCUGCCUUGGCCUCCCAAAGUGCUAGGAUUACAGGCAUGAGCUACUGUGCCUGGCCUAAAAUAAUAUUUUGACCUUGAAGACUCCCAGGGGUUUAUGGACCAUACUUUAAGAACCCCUGCUUUAAGUUAUUUGAAAAUAUCCAGAAGCCUAUAUUAGUCUUUAUUAAUCUGCCCACUUUCUUGUUUUUAACUUGGAUUUCUUCAGUUCCUACAAGUGCAUGUAAAUGACAUUAAUUUAGAACUCAGUUUUACCAUUUUUGCUUUGCAAGCAUUGCAUAUAAAAUUUUAUUGCAGGCUGGGCACGGUGGCUCAUGCCUGUAAUCCCAGCACUUUGGGAGGCCAAGGCAGGCGGAUCACAAGGUCAGGAGAUCGAGAUCAUCCUGGCCAACAUGGUGAAGCCCCGUCUCUACUAAAAAUAUAAAAAUUAGCUGGACGUGGUGGCAUGCCUGUAAUCCCAGCUACUAGGGGGUGCUGAGGCAGGAGAAUCGCUUGAACCUGAGAGGCAGAGAUUGCAGUGAGCCGAGAUCAUGCCACUGCACUCCAGUCUGGCGACAGAGCAAGACUCCAUCUCAAAACAAAACAAAACAAACCUUUAUUGCAAAUGUGCAGAGCUUUCAGCUACGUGAUCAUUUGAAAAGACUGAAUAGCUAUUGUAUGUUUUGAACCCCUUGCUUACAAAUUAAUAUUUGGCUAUACUGUGUCAAUAAAUUGGAUGUUAAACCUACACUCCAGCAUUAAACAGUUUUAAUGUGGGUUUGAGGUAUUCCUUGCUUAUAUUAAUGUGACUGUAAGAGAAGUUGUAGAUCACAUUUGCCUAUUUAUUUUUUCUUCAUUUCUUAGUAGCUUAAUUCCAUCCCUCUUCACCCUUUAAACUACAGCAAUUGUCACCCUUUGAACUAGAACAGCUAAAAUCACUUAAGAGAAAUAAGGAUCCUUUGUGUACAGGAACAUUUAGAGGUAGGGAAGUGGGAAGAAUCCUUCACAGUGUAAUUCAUUCCUAAUCAAAAAUUUUCCCCCCUGGGCUUCAUUGGAGUUGGGGGUGGGAGAGCGAGUACCUAUGUUUCAGACUUUUGAAGUUUAAUUUCAUUCUGACUUGGAAUUAUUCUCAUAAAAAAAAAAAACAACAAACCAACAACAUCAAAACAACAUACCUUCUAGCGCUUUAUUAAAAGGUUAAAUCCUUAGGUGGUGGUAGUAGGGGGGAAUGCUAAUCAUUCUGGACACUGCCAUCUGUUUCAAUUUUUGCCAUCAGUGAGAAACUGCCCCCAACACUGCAGUUAAUUAGGCCUUUAGAGCUUGGGUGUUUGUUGUUUUGUUUAGCUUCUAUGGGAAGGUUUUCUCCAGCACUGAGUAACAGUAGCCAGAUAUCAAUUAACCUAUUUAUGCCUAAGUGUUCCAUUAUUGGAACACUAAGCUUGUGGGAGUUAUUUAUAUCUUACUGCACAAGGUCUUCUCCAUGGUCUGAUUUUUCACACAAAAAAACAACUUGCCACCUCUGGUGUAAAUGGGUUAAUAGAACAAAUGUUAAAAAAUAUUUGAAAAUAUUGUAACAUAAAUUAUUAACCUAUAGAAUACACUGGCAACAUAUUACUACAUUGGUAAUAUAUCAAUACAUUGUCUUAUAUAAACAUUUUUAGCCCAGCAUUAAUUCUAGUUUGUCUGAUUCAGCUUCUUUUUUAGGUUGAGAAUAUUAUAUUUCCCUAUUUAAGAGUUCUUUUAGUUAUUCAAAGAUUAUAGCAGAUAUUCUGACAGGGCAUAUUAUAAAAACGUUGAUUGUGAACAUGUUAAAAGCUUCUCUUCAGUAUUUUCUUUUUAUAAACCACCUGUUGUCUUAUGUGCAUAGCAUAUACAUUUGAACAAAGUGCUCAUCACUUGUCAGCCAUCAGUGGCAGCAUAGAAAUUACUUGUGGUACUUGCUUUGCAAGAAAUUCUUUUGUAUUUGUGACAUCAGCUUUGUUUUAUACAAUUAAAGUAUUACACGCUAGAAUAAUCUAAAUUACAACCACCAAAUGGUGAUGAAGUUCUUCCCUUGAACUGAAUUUGUUUACUUAAUGUGUGCAGCUAUUGACUAUUAUUUAAAAUGACAGUUUCAUAAAAAUCUCUCCCUUAUUUUGGUAGCAAAUAAGAAGGUGUUGUAAUAUUAAAGGUAUUUCUCAAUUUUAAAAUGUACUUUGAAUAAAUAUUACAUUAAGAGAUAAAGUGUGGAAAAUCCCAUGUGUGUGAAAAUCCUUCAAUUAUACAAUUUGAUUUUCAAAUGAAAUUUAAUGCUCUUAAUAUGAUACAUUCAUGAUCACUUUAAUAGUAUUUUUCUAAUUUUUAAAUUCCCAGUUAAAAGCAUUUUGCACUCAUUUUAAUUCAUUUUCUUCUGUUAAAAAGGAACAAAAUAUAACUGAUUAAAACUUAAGAUUGAUAUUGGAAUAAAUAUUUAGACUGUUAGAUAACUUCUUUUAUAUUCGCAUGAGCAUUAACUCUACACAGCAAUCUAGAUGCUUAGAGAACCAUACCAAUGCAUUCUAAGUAAUUGAGUUUUUUUCCUUUAAUGUUUUGUUAAAUAAUCCUGGUUAUAAUUUAUUUGAGUAAGUUAACAGUACUAGUAUAUUGACAUUAUUUGGGUUGACAAGUAUUUUUAGAUAAUUAUUUCACUGAACAUGUUUCGGGACUAAUGGAAUAAAAUUACUCAUUUAAAGUAAGUUUAUUAUCUUGUACUUUGUAAAAAGCUUUAAGAAUGUCACUGUUAUUUAAUAAUAGGUAAAAGGUAUAUUUAGUUUUAAUUUUAAUAACAGGUAAAAGGUAUAGUAUAAGGAUGUUUUCUAAAGUAGCCAGUGGUAUGCCUCUGCAAUAUAAUUGGCUUGCUAAACCUCAAUAAUAGUUGGCAUACAGAAACUCUACAUGAAUUCAGUGAUUAAAAGCAGGAAAACUACUUAAAAUAAGACCUUUUUGUUCUUUUUAGAAACAAUCUAAAUGAGAACUUUAUAUUUGCAGGAACAAGAUUUGGCAUUUCUUUUUCACUGCUUGGUUGCUUUGAUGUGAGCAGUAUAAUGUAGUGGACAUUAGUAUAUAAGUAAAUGAUUAAAUGAGUCAUAAGAUGGAACAUCUGCCUGAGAAGGCCUUUCAGACAGCAUGAGUUAUGUUGUUGAAGUCUCUAAUCAGUGCAUCUGUCCCUGAGACUUCAGUUGGUACAAGGAUAGUUUUCUAUUUUGGAUUAGUUACUAUAUGAAGACAGCAUAUUUAAAAAAAAUUUUUUCAUGCAUGCAACUGGAAAAUUUGUGCCUGUGAUAUUGGAAUAAAAAAAUUACAGCAGUGAUUUUUUUUUUGAGCAUAGUAAUAAAGGAUAGCAAUAAGUGUAUAAAAUUUAACUUUUAUAUGCCUUAAAAUGGUUAUUUAUGGUAGGAUUUUACAUUACAGACCCAUAAGUCUUAAUGUCUUACCUGAGGAAAUAUUCUUAGAAAUAAUGUUAUUACAACAGGACAUAAAUUCAGAUGAAGGCUGAAGCACAGCAGGAUUCAGAUAGGAUGUUUAACUGAAACUGCAGACCAUAUCGUGGGUCCCUUCCGAUCUGGAAUAUUACCAUAGUUUCAAAGUUGCAGAGAGAGAGAGAGAAAAUAUGAAUAUGCACGUUUGUAUGUUGUAUACAAGAUAAAAACUCCUAACCAAGAGCACAUUGUAGAAUACCAGAGGAUGAUGACAUAGAGUUGUGGUAAAUGUAUGUAUGUUUUAUUCUUUAUAAUCAACAAGCCACAGGAGACAAAUUCUUGUGAUCAUAGUUAAUUUUCACUAAAGGGUGCAAUCGAAAGAAGAAAUUGGCUCUUCUUUCCUUCAAAAAUUUAUACUUAGCUGUUCAAUUAAACUUUUUUACAAGAAAAUAAUGAGUGUAAUUAAAGGAGAAUAUGGGGGUUUGAGUAAGAAUUGGGCACAUGUUAAUUUACGUAUUGGGAUUUUUAAAUCUUUGAAAUAUAGACCAGUCAUCGGGAAAUAUUUUUAUUUUAAAAAGGGGUUUUAAAAAGUUGUGAGGCCCUCUAGUUUUUGCCCUGGGGUGUAGAGAGCCGGAAGGAGUAUCACUCCCACCCUCGCAAUGAAAAAGAGCCUGACUAACUUUAAAAUGUAAGGAUAUACAGUGCCUAUGGGGAUGGAGGAGACAUGAACCCACACUCAACUUGGAUAGACACAACGGGACACCAGUGAGAAGAGUUCAGCUAGAAUUGGGACAGAUUAGUGAAGGUUGAGUCCAGGCCAGCAAGAAUUUGUGAUGUCCGUGAAGGCUGCAGAAAUUGGGGAACCUGGUACCCUCUUGUAUAUUCUUUCUUCACUAGUGGAUGGGGUAGGAAUCCCAGGAGAUGGGAAAUGGGAAAGAGUCCCCAAAAGUAUGCGAUGUGGCACACACCCUGGGGACGAGAACAGCGGUGACACGUGGCUUCUUCCUUCUCUCCACUAUACAACAAAAGCCAUCAUCUGGGAACAGUGGAGUGGAAAGGAGGUAGUAAGCACAGCAAGCCUUAGGGCCUUGAUGAAAUUCUGAAAUUCAUUGCAGUUGGGGAGAGGAAAGUGCGUGCACGUGUGUGUGUCUACUUUGUCAGGAAUAUGCGGGGCCCACAACUGUAGUUUAGGGCAGGAGGUUAGAUAACUGAUACAGCUAUAUCUUCAAGACCCAGGCUGACAUGUGACUAAGGCUGAGCCUUGCUCAGAACAACAGAGGAUUGAUCUGGGCCCCCAACCAUUUCUCACCAUCAAACUAACAGGUUUCUAAUAAUAAUUAACAGCUGCUGGGUUAGAGACAGGAGAGGAAAAAAGAAUAGACAGCGAUUCCUGGUGUAAAAGAAAGAGCUGAACUCACAAUAGAAUAGACAUUACUCUGAUAAAUUAAGGCCCAUCAUAAAAACAAGAUAUUUCUACAGGAGUUUAAAGCCUGUAGUAUACUCAGGGUAACAAUAGUGCUAACUUCAAACCCAGCCCAGUGCCUAACUAGAUAAACUCUAACCCUUCAGUAAAGGCCUAGGAGAAGAAAAGUCUUGCCCCAUUUUAGGCAUAAAAACUAUUUAGUUUCUACUGUUGCACACAAGAGGAUCAGCUUCCAAUAACAACAACAACAAAAAACCAUGAGAUGUAUUUAAAAAGCAAGAAAAAAAAGCACUCAGGGAUAAAGCAAUCAUUGAAACUAGCCUUAGACAGCUGGGUGCAGUGGCUCACGCCUGUAAUCCCAGCCCUUUGGGAGGCCGAGGUGGGUGGAUCACCUGAGGUCAGGAGUUUAAGACCAGCCUGGUCAACAUGGUGAAACCUCAUCUCUGCUAAAAAUACAGAAAUUAGCUGGGCAUGGUGGUGCAUGCCUAUAAUCCCAGCUACUCGGGAAGCUGAGGCACGAGAAUCGCUUGAAUCCAGAGGGCGGAAGUUGCAGUGAGCUGAGAUUGUGCCACUGCACUCCAGCCUGGGCAACAGAGCGAGACCCCCAUCUCAAAAAAAAAAAAAAAGAAAGAAAGAAAUAUUUUAAGAAAUAAUGACCAAGAAUUUUCCAAAAUUAAUGAGACACAAAACCAUAGGUCCAAAAAGCUCAGAGAAUAACAAGCAGGAUAAAUACCACACACAUACGCUUACACACGUGGACAUGUAGUAUUCAAGCUGCUUAAAAUGAAAGGUAAAAAGAAAAUCUCUAAGGCACCCGGAGAAAAAGGUAACAUUAUGUAUAGAGAACAAUGAUAGGAAGUUUGUGUGAUGGCUGACUUUUCGAAACUAUGGAAGCUAGGAGACAGUGGAAUGACACUUUGGAAGUGCUGAAAGAAAAAAACUCAGCCCAGAAAUCUGUGCCUAAUGAGAAUGUUUUUCAGAAAUGAAACAGAAAUAGUCUUUCAUAGGCAAACAAAGACUAGGAAUUCAUUGCCAGUAGACCUACUCUACAAGAAAUGUUAAAGCAAGUUCUUCAGGCAGAUGGAAUAAAUGAAGGAAAAAAUUGAUAUUUUAUUGCUAAUUCUUCUGAAAUAAGAAUCAGCAAACUUUUUAUAUAAAGAUUAGAUAAUAAAUAUUAUAGGCUUUGAGGGUCAUAUGGUUUUUGAAACUACUCAACUUUGCAGUUGUCGUGUGAAAUAUGAAUGAAUGAAUGAGCACGUACCAAAUAUGAAGUGGUGUGUAGGCUGAGUAUCUCUAAUCUAAAAAUUCAAAAUUAAAAUGCUUCAAAAUCUGAAACUUUUUGAGGGCUGACAUGACGCUCAAAGGAAAUGCUUGUAGGAGCAUUUUAGAUUUUGGAUUUUUAGAUUAUGGAUGCUUAACUGAUAAGUAUAAUGCACAUAUUCCAAAAUCCAAAAUAAAUCCAAAAUCUGAAACACUUCUGGUCUCAGGCAUUUUGGAUAAGGGAUACUUAUAAUAUCACUUAAAGGUGGACUCAGAUUAAUGAAAAAUGUAUAUUGUAAACCUUUGGACAACUACUGAAAGUUUUGAAAUAGAGUCAUAAUAAUAAAUCUAUAGAAGAGACAAAAUGGAAUUAUAAAAAAAUCCUUAGCACAAGUCAGAGAAAGAGGAAGAAAGAAAGAAUAGCUGGAGUAAGUAGAAAAUUGCUAGCAAGAUGGUAGAUUUUAGUCCAGUCAUAUCAAUAAUAUUAAAUGUGAAUAUUCUAAAUCAGGGAUUGGCAAACUGCUGCCGGCUAGUUUCAUUUGUUUGUACAUAUGUGCUGUGAUCGAGAGAAUUCCUGGACUUAGAGUGCAUCUAGAAUUUAGACAGCCAUAAACAUGUGCAUGAGGAAGAAUUUAGAUAAUGCACGGUGUGAUCCACCAGUUUACUGGUAAUUUUUUUUUCAAGAAACAAUUUUUGGUUGGAUGUGGUGGCUCAUGCCUAUAAUCCCAACACUGUUGGAGGCCAAGCUGAGAGGAUUGCUUGAGGUCAGGAGUUUGAGACCAGCCUGGGCAACACAGUGAGACCCCAUAUCUACACAAAUUUUAAAAAAUAAUAAAUUAGCUGAGUAUGGUGACGGGUGCCUCUAGUCCCAGCUACUCAGUGGGCUGAGGCGGGAAGAUCACUUCAGCCCAGUAGUUCAAGGCUGCAGUGAGCUGUGAUUUCACCUCUGCACUCCAGCCUGAGCGACAGAGCCAGAGCCAGGACCCUGUCUUCACAAAAGAAAAAAAAAAAGAAAAGAAUUUUCAUUUUAGGGGAAAAAAUUGACUUGGGUGAAUGUGGGUAAAGAUAAAAGGGGACAUUGUGUUUUAGACUUUAGGAAGACUUUUCUGAAAUAAAGGAGAAAGUGUUAUUGUAAACAUACGCUGAAGCUGUUCUGUCUUGUCAGUUUCCUAAAUGACAUUGGAUCAGGAAUUAUUUUUCUGUAUAUACAUAUAUUUUUAAGUAUAAAUUGUAUAUUUAUGUUGUACAACAUGAUGUUUUCGUAUAUGUAUACGUUGUGGAUUGGCUAAAUCAAGGUGUUUAUACAUUACCUCACAUACUUGUCAUUUUUUUGGUUGGGGGAACACUUGAAAUCUACUCUUAGCAAUUUUCAAGGAUACAAAUAUAGUAUUAACUAUACUCACUGUUAUGUACAAUAGAGCUCUUGAAUGGAUUCUUCUUGUCUAAGUGAAAUUUUAUUUUAUAUCCUUUGACCCAGAGUUACUUUCCUUUUUUUUUUUUUUUUUUUUUUUUUGAGACGAAGUCUUGCUCUGUUGCCCAGGCUGGAGUACAGUGGCGCAAUCUCGGCUCACUGCAAGCUCUGCCUCCCGGGUUCAAGCCAUUCGACCCAGAGUUACUUUCUAAUGUAAGAAGUUUUCAGAAUUGAUUUGUGAAACAUAACCUUUUAUUAGGUACACACCCAUUAUUCCUAGAGCUAAGGUAUAUUUUUGUCCUUUGGAAUACUGCUGAAUGUACUAAAAUAGGAAUGCUUCCACAUUACUCUUUGAUAAUUACUAAUGUGUGGUUGAUCAAAAUCUGUUCUUAAUAUUGUGCUUGUAACUUUCAGGUAAAUCAUUUGAAGCAGUACUUACUGCCUUUGAAGAUAGAAUUUCAUGUAUCCAACAUAGAAUUUCAUUCUAUGAAAUUCUAUAAAAUAUAUAAAUAUAGAAUAUAUUUCAUAUAUUUCAAAUAACCCAAUAUUUGGAAAUAGGUCUGUGUAUUUUAGUCCCAGCUUUGUAACUUACUAGUUUUGUGCAAGGAGUAAUAUUUAAGCUUCGUGAGUCUCAGUUUCCUCAUAUGUGAAAUGGAGAUGAUUUUCAUAUUCGGUUUAUAGUCAUAAUUAAAUGAGAUAUAUGUCAAAUAUUAAUUACUGAGAAAUACUAAACAAAUUUAAAUCCAAAAGUAAUUGUUUUGAGCAGGUAAUUACGUAUGUGGCACAAAAGUAAAACAGACAUAAAGGUAUAUGCCGAGAAGGUUUACUCCUUGUCUGUAUCUACCAUGUCCCUCCUCACGCCCACAGCAUUUAUUUUUACUAGUUCCUUAUUUAUUUUUCUGUAAUUUCUUUAUACAAAUAUAAACAAAUGCAAUUCAAUAUUUUUUUCCUCUUUCUUAAAUGAAAAAUAGCCUACCAGGUACACUGAAGUACCUUACUUUUGGCAUUUACAGUCUCCUGGAGGGCCUCCACAGCAGCGCACAGUUAUUGUUUUCAUUUUUCUUCUCAGAUGUAUUUUAUUUCAUUUUAUGGCUGUAAUGUUGUUUAUUCAGAUCAUUCAGUAUUGGUGGGUACUUGAGUGUUUUCCAGUUGUGUGUGUGUGUGUUUUGUUUUUUUUUUUUUUGCUCUGAUUAUAUUAUAAUGCCACAAGGCCAAAUUCAUAAUUCAGUAUAUAUGUCAUUUCCUACUUGUAUACUGAAUGGGAGAUAGAUUUACAAAAAUGGGAUUGUUGGGUCAAAGAGAAAAUGCAUCAGUAAUUAUGGUAGAUAUUCAAGUUUCCCAUUUAGGAGUUAUACCAUUUUGUACUGCUACCAACAGUGUAUGCGAAUGCCUAUUUCUCUAUGACCUUGCCAGCAGAAUGUGUUAAACCUGCAUAUUUUUGCACUUUGCUAGGAGAGAAUUGAUAUGUUGGUAUAGUUUUACUUUGCUUUUCUCAUUAUGAGUGAGUGAGACCGAACAUCUCUUCAUAUUUAAGAGCUAUUUUUUUAAUGGAUUGCCUGUUCAAGUUGCUUGUCCCUUAUUGUAUUGUUCUUUCUUUCAUUUUUAAAUUUCUUAACACCUAAGACUUCUUUAUAGAUAUCAGCCCUAUGUUGUAUGAGUUGCAGAUUUUUUUCCAUGUUUGUCAUUUGUGCUUUAACUUUCUUUGUGAUGUCUUGUGCUAUUCAAAGUUUUUUUUAGUUGAACUGAGUUAUCAGAAAGGUUUUCCUCAACCCAUGGUUACAAAAUAAUUCACUUAUAUUUUCUUUCAGUACUUUUAUUAUUUCAUUUUUUUCUUUGUAAAUCUCUAAUCCACUUACAGUUUAUAUGCACUGAGACCUAGAUCCUACCUUUUUAUGUUUUUUGAAAACAGCUCUUUGGUUAUUCAAUAAUGUGUAUUAAAAAGUCUAUAUUUAUGGAUUUGAGCUGCUUUUAUCAUAUGCUAGAUUCCUAUGAGUAUUUAGGCCAUUUCAGAUCUUCCUAUUCUGUUUCAUCAAUAUGCCAAUGUAUUUUUCUUAAUGCCAUACCUUUUAUAUAAUUAAGAUAUAGUAAUAUAAGGUGAAUAUCUCUUAUCUGAAGUGCUUGGGGCCAGAAGUGUUUUGGAUUUUGGAUUUUCUCAGAUUUUGGAACAUUUGCAUAUACAUAAUGAGAUAUCUUGGGUAUGGGACCCAAGUCUAAACAUGAAAUUUAUUUAUGUUUCAUAUACACCUUAUACACAUAGCUGAAAGUAAUUUUAUACAAUAUUUUUUAAUAAUUUUGUGCAUGAAACAAAAGUUUGUAUAUGUCAAACCAUCAGAAAGCAAAGGUGUCAGUAUCUCAGCCACCCAUGGGGACAAUCUGUAGUUGUUUUGCAUCACCAUCCUUCCUGACUCUGAAUUUAAAUGCUGCUGAUAAGCAGCCAUUUUCUUACACUUAUUUACAUCUAAGUACUUAACAGUAAAUAUAACAUGUCAUUAAUAUGUGAAAAGAUAAUGUGUUCAGGGUAACUCAGCAGCACAGUAGCAUCACCAGAAUACCCGUGUCAGCUGUUAGACAACAACAUCCAACAGCAGCAGGCUUUCAGUCUCCAUCUAUGAUGCUGUAUUUUGACAAAAAGUUUACUGUAUACGGUAUUUAUUAUUAUUAUUAUUAUUAUUAUUUUUAGGAGGAAAGAAACAUUAGAGGCAAUUGAAGGACCAGAAAGUGGGUUUUGUAGGCGUGAGGAGACAUUCUGCUCGAUGGCUUUUUAAAAUGUUUGCUCCAGAUCAUCUGCCUCAUUAACAACAUUUUUGUGUCUUAACAACCUCUCUGAUUUUGUAAACUGACAUGAUUCCUUGUUCUGUUAUGAACGCAUGUUGUUCUAGUCCUUCUAUAAGCCCAUCACACAUUUUCACCAUGUGGUCCAUAUGUACUUCUGCAGAAUUAAUGUCCUCUCCAUCAUUGGUUUUAUCAUGAUCACCUUGAUUCAGAACCAUUUUGGCCGUUUAACCACUGGUCAAUGAAUGAACAACUGGAGCCUCAUUCCAGCUUGCUGACAGACUCUGAAGGUAUAUAUUUUGCAUAUAUAAGGAGGUCAGGCAUCAUUUUUUCUCACUGGACAUACAGAAUCCUUCACAGUCACCACCUUAUUCAUCAUCACUCAGCAUAGUCACAGGACAGAGGUUGUGUCUUUAGUUACUGUGUUCCAAACAUUGGCAACAACAUAUGUGGCUUCCUUCAUGCUAAACUCCUUUUGAAAACCUUCCAUACCCCUGCCUCUGUUCACUGCUACUAGCAUGCUAUUCAAGAAAGUGUUUUUCUAUUUACUCUUCGUUGAUCUAAGGAUACCCUGAUCACAUGACUUAGUUAAAGAAGUCACAUCGGAGGAAAGUACAUGGCAUAAAUAUUACUUUUGAUGAGAAUUUCAGCUGGAGGAUGAGCAAAACAAUUUCCAAGGAAUAACAAAAUCUUGCAGUGUCAUCCAAUCCAGCUUCCCUACAGUGAGCAUGAGCUGCUGGUACAAAAUGUUUGUGAAACCAAUUAGAAAUGGUGUCUGUGGUGAUCCAUGCCUUUUUGUUAGCAUAAUGGACUGGUAAGAAGUUCACUCCUUGAAAAUAGCAAGGAUGCAAGCUUUUGGCUCUCACAGCAAAUGUGCCUGCUGUAUUAGCACAUCCUAGCACAGGUAUUCUGUUGUUGGCAUCCUUAAUUCCUUAGGAACUGUCUUAUUACCUGUAGUCAGUAUCUUUCUGGGGCAAUAACACCAAAACAGUAGUGAUUUUUCUCGAGCAAUAUAGACUUGUUCUGGCAUCACAUUUUCAUCAGUGAUGACCUUGGCAAAUGUGUCAGUGUAUUUUUCAUUGAUUUGUGAUCAGCAGAUGCUUUAUUACCACAAAAUUUUAAAAAUUGAAUAGAGUGUCUUAAAUUUCUGCAACCAAACUGUUGAAUAUUCACAAUUCCCUUUAAUUUUUAGUUCUUCAUGUGAAUCUUUGUUUGUUUUUUGAUCAUAUUAUUAAAUGGCAUGUGUUCACUGUGAUACUGAUGGAUCCACUUUUUCAAUACAUGAUGGAGAUCUUCAUUUUUAGCUUUAUUUGGUAUUUUUCUGUUUUUCAUUAACUUCUGUUCAUCACUUUUGGUAUGGAGUGUCAACAGUUUGCCCUUGUUUCUUCAUGUCUUAUAUGGUGGACAUUUCAACAUCAUGCUCUCCUGCAGGACGUUUCACACUUACCCCGCUGUCCAGUUUCUCCAGGUCUUUCUGUGCUAUAGAUAAACAUAAACAUUUCCUUUUUUUCUUAUCACUGUUACCUAUAGGGGCAUCUGCAGGCCUUUUUUCCAACAUUUUCGAUAAUUUUUUACACCGCAGAGCACAGAAUAAGCAAAAAAAAAUAGCGAGUAAUGCACAUAGGUCUUGGCCUUAGGUAGGAACAUCAGCAGGGAACCUGUGUGUCCAGCCUGUACAACACGUGCCAUUUUACUACCCUUUGUGGAUGUGCUUGCCUGGGGGAAUCUGGGUAUGAUCGGAAAAGAUAUGCCAGCUCAAGAGGACUAAGAGGGUCUUUUUUUCUCUUGGGGAUGCUGAAUAAACUGUGUGCUGUGCACUUGCAUUUUGACUGUGAGCUGUCACAGAAGUCAGGUUUGAAAUUUUCCACCUGUGGUGUCAUGUUGGAGCUCAUAAAGUUUUGGAUAUUGGAGCAUUUUGGGUUUCAGAUUUUUGGAUUAUGGAGUUCAACCUUAUCUUGUCAAGCUUAUUUCCUUUCAUAUUCAGAGUGUUUGGUCUUACUUGUUUAUUUUUUCCAUACAAACUUAAGAAUCGGCUUUCUUCAUCCUACAAGCAGAAAUCUUGUUGGAAUUAUUAUUGUGAAGACAAUAAAUUUAUAUGUUAACUUACUUACAUGUUUUGAAUCUUCCCAUUCAAAAACAUGAUAUGUUCUUUUACUUGUUGAAGUCUACUAUUAGAGCAUUUAGAAAUGUGUUAAAGGUCUCUCAUGUUGGUUUUGUACAUUUCUUGUAAAGUUUAUUUCUAGAUGUCUUGUCUCUUUUUUGUUGGUAUUGUAAAUGUGUUAUUCUCUUAUGUAAUGUUUUCUGAUUGCUGUUUAUAUGUGAAAAAUACUUUAUUUAUUUAUUUAUUUGAGUUGGAGUCUUGCUUUGUCAUCUAGGCUGGAGUGCAAUGGCAUGAUCUUGGUUCACUGCAACCUCUACCUCCUGGAGGUAGUGAUUCUCCUGUCUCAGCCUCCCAAGUAGCUAGGACUACAGGCACGUGCUACCACACCUGGCUAAUUUUUGUAUUUUUAGUAGAAACGAGGUUUUGCCAUGUUGGCCAGGCUGGUCUUGAACUCCUGACCUCAGAUGAUCCACUCACUUCAGCCUCCCAAUGUGCUGGGAUUACAGGUGUGAGCCACCGUGCCCGGCCUGAAAAAUACUUUAAAAGAUCAGUUUGUUUGUGUAAUUCUUUAUUAAGUACUGUAGAGAUUACCUAAGGAAAAUGUGAAAAAUAUUCUUUCUUCCUUGGUGACUAAUAUAUAGGUUGAAUAUAAAAAAAAAUGCUCAUAGGAAAAAAGUCUCAAAAAAUAAGUAUUCGAAUGUUGACAGUGGUUAUUUAUAGAUUUCUAGAUGAUUUCUUCUUUUGCCUACCUAUUUUAGUGGUGAUUACUAGUUGUCAACCAUAAUCCAUGCUCUCCUUCUUCUUGGCACAUGGCUGCUCAUCUUUACUACAUUUUAUUUUAUUUUAUUUUUUACUACACUUCCCAGUUAACCUUGAGAAUAUGUGUUUGUGUUUUCUGCAAUGGGUUGUGAAAGGAAUUGGUAUGUGAUACUUUUUGGACUGGAUCUCAAGACAUUGUGCCUUUCCUAGUAGUUGCUCUUUUCCUUUUAUGCUGUUUUAAUUGGAAGUACUCAGACCAUUCAGAUGAUGACAGUGCCUUAGUGAAGAGCAGAGCCAUGACUUGGAAAGUACCUGAAUCUGUGAAUGACUACAAGGAACGGGGAUCUGCUCCACCAAGCUGGACCAUUUAUGUUAAGAUUGAAAUUAAAGAGAAAUAAACUUUUCUGUUUGUUAA